UGAUGGUAAUUUAAAUGCGGAGAAAUUUUUAUUAUUACUCAAUGAAACAGUUUCAGAGUACAUGGAAGAGCUUUCUCUCGAUGUAUAUCGACAGACGUGGUACCAAUUGGAUGGUGCACCUGCACACUCGGUGACUUCUGCGAGAGCACGUUUAACCGAGAUGUUUGGAGAGCGAUGGAUCGGCCGUUAUGGCCCCACGAGGUGGCCACCGAGGUCACCAGACCUCACACCACUCGAUUUUUUUUUAUGGGGUUACGUUAAAAAUGAUGUUUACGCCACGGAUGUAACUGAUGUGGACGACUUAAAAAAUCGUAUAAUACGAUCUUUUGAUAAAUUAAAAAGUAUGGCAGUUAAUGGUGACCUGUUAUCAAAAGUGAGAAAUAAUAUUUUACGUAGAUACAUUUCGUGUGUUCGAGUUCAUGGUGGACAUAUUGAGAAUUUUAAAAUUUAAUAUCUUUUAAUGUAUUUUGUAUGUGUUAAUUAUUCUGACAAUCAAAAACAAAUAAUUGAAUAAUAAUAGUGUCAAAGUAUUGCGAUGUAUUGUGUUACAGCGGCGAGAGGCUACCUGCCCGCCCGCCUUUAGUCAGAGGUCAGUGAAUCUAAAUUACAAAUGGCGUACUAUGUAUUUUAUUAAUUUGCGAUAUUAAGUUUGUUCGAAAAUUUCAUUUUUUCAAAAACGGUUCAAAAUAUUUUCUGAUAGUUUUAUGAUAUUUCUAUAUACCAAUACGACCUGUGUUUUCAUUUAUUGUCGUAUGGUCGUGUACACCUUGUACAUAUUCCAAGGGGGG